rnacentral:rRNA from 1 species
GACGUACCGUGCGAACGUUGUUCGGAAUCACUGGGCUUAAAGGGUGCGUAGGCGGGUUGUCCAGUCUGGGGUGAAAUCCCACGGCUCAACCGUGGAAUUGCCUCAGAUACUGACGACCUCGAGGGAGGUAGGGGCGAGCGGAACUGUGGGUGGAGCGGUGAAAUGCGUUGAUAUCCACAGGAACUCCGGUGGCGAAAGCGGCUCGCUGGACCUCUUCUGACGCUGAGGCACGAAAGCUAGGGGAGCAUGCGGG